rnacentral:rRNA from 1 species
UACAGAGGUCCCAAGCGUUGUUCGGAUUCACUGGGCGUAAAGGGUGCGUAGGUGGCUUGGUAAGUUUGAUGUGAAAUCUCCGGGCUUAACCCGGAAAUGGCAUUGAAUACUAUUGAGCUGGAGGUUUGGAGGGGGGACUGGAAUUCUCGGUGUAGCAGUGAAAUGCGUAGAUAUCGAGAGGAACACCAGUGGCGAAGGCGAGUCCCUGGACAACACCUGACACUGAGGCACGAAAGCUAGGGGAGCAAACGGG